rnacentral:misc_RNA from 1 species
UACAGAGACCUCAAACGUUGUCCGGAUUCAUUGGGCGUAAAGCGUCCGCAGGUUGUUUCACAAGUGGAUGGUCAAAUCCCGAUGCUCAACGUCGGGACUGCUGUUCAUACUGUGAGACUAGAGGCUGGAAAAGGCAAGUGGAACUGUCGGUGUAGUCGUAAUAAGCGCUGAUAUCGACAGGAACACCAAAUGCGAAGGCAACUUGCUGGUACAUGCCUGACACUCAUGGACGAAAGCGUGGGUAGCGAAUGGG